rnacentral:rRNA from 1 species
GACGAACGCUGGCGGCGUGCUUAACACAUGCAAGUCGAACGAAGUGGCGAACGGGUGAGUAACGCGUAAUCAACCUGCCCUUCAGAGGGGGACAACAGUUGGAACCGACUGCUAAUACCGCAUACUGAAGGAGGGGAUUGCGUCUGAUUAGCUAGUUGGAGGGGUAACGGCCCACCAAGGCGAUGAUCAGUAGCCGGGCUGAGAGGAUGAACGGCCACAUUGGGACUGGGACCCGGGCCAGACUCCUACGGGAGGGAGCAGGGGGGAAUCUUCCGCAAUGGACGGAAGUCUGACGGAGCAACGCCGCGUGGGUGAUGACGGCCCUCGGGUUGUAAAACUCUGUUAAGCGGGACGCGGUACCGGAAUAGAAAGCCACGGCUAACUACGUGCCAGCCGCCGCGGUAAUUC